CCGAAACGUUGAUCUCUAAUUCCAAAAAUUAUUUGGGAGCCAUUUCUGUUUUCGACUAAAAGUACAGACGAUUGAAGGAAAUUUCUACAACGAGAACGAUAAAUAAAAGGAUUGUACACUUGGAAAGACUAGGAUGGAAAGUUUCAUUACCAAGAAAACGAUGAAACUUGUUCGAUUUUAUUUUCAAAAUUGACGCUGCGAGAACACCGCAGCUUCUUUAAUGUUUGGAAUACUAUCUCCAACAGCCUGCCUAUUAUUCCUAUAUUUCUAGCGAUAGCGAUAAACAAUGGUUCCUCCGAAGGAAAUUUUUGACAAUGGCAAGUUUCCUACCUUUCGAAUUUGAACUCGUCAUAAGAAAUCCCGAACUCAAGGGCGAAGACUCCCCACCCCUCCUUCUGGGACUAUAAAGAAAGGGUUAAGAAAAUAAAGCACGAGCCCUAGAACAUUUUAACAUUACAACCCAAAAUUUUAAUAACAGUUAUGGAGAAUUUCCUGGAAACAAAACGUCAAGGCCGAGACUAGCAAUGAUCCACAUUUGGCCGAUAUUAUUUUUAAACCGUAAUGUAAAUGUAUUUCUAUAAGUUGCAUUUAACGGCAACAAAUAAAUAAUGUUGAAGGGAAAA